AUUGCCCCAAAUGAAAUAACCAAAAAAAAGAAAGAAAAGCUCGAAUUUAGUGAAAUGCAAACACCGUUACACUGGCGUGAACCCAGACAUCACCUGCUGGGGUACAUCACACGAUUUCGUCUUUUAGUGUUACCCAUUUAGGCAAGAAUUUAACACCUGCCACAUACCGCUGCAGUUAGACCUCGCUGGACGGACGGAAGUGUGCUUGAUGUGUUUCACAGCUAUAGGACAAGCCCAUUUUGAGCUGCACACUUUUACGCUGAGAGCACAGAAACCUGCCGAUCUUCGGAGAGCUGAACUUUUAUACUGCCCUGCAGGGAAGCAUCAUUCACCGGUAGUGGAAUCUACUGCAGGACCAGACAAGACUGAAGGCAAUCCCCAGGAUCACAGGAACUGAAGAUGGCUGCAGUACAGGCCUGGCAGAGCAUCACCAGGGAAGAUUCCCAGCAUCUAGAGAUGUCGAAUGCAAAGGAUUUGCAACCAAAUAGUCUGGUCCCAAUUACACCAUUCUGAAAAAGAAAAAGGGGGCCGCGUGUCUGUCUGUGCUGCUGAUUCUCCGGGCACGAGCCAGUCCCGAUGCGGCGUCCUUACUACAGACCCGUCAGUUCCACUUCAGUUGCGAAAUGGGCCAGGACCGGUAGCCUAUAAUGGAGUAUCAUGUUCGGAGCAAUUAGUGAAGCCUGCUCUCGCCCAACUUAUUCGUGUUUGUUUAUGAAACAACUGUAAGCGAAGUAAUGCGUUUGGAUACGCACACAGAUGUACCAGUGCUGCUUCGAUCAAAAUGGUGUAUUAAAUAUUAAGCAGUUCCGGUGUGCGGUGUUGAAGAGACAGAUGGCCGUUGUGCUGAGAUGGCGUGAAUGAUCGGUCUGGUCCUGUGAAUCGCCGCUUUCCCCGUCGCAGGAGGGGAAGCGCUGGCACGCGGGAAGAUUCAUUAAUGAGACGCGGCAGUCUCCGUUUUUCUUAAAAAAAAUAUAUAUAAAUCAUUCUGCACGUUGCUCCCUGUCUCCAGAUAAUAAUCAGAACAUUUUGUUAUCUUACUUAAGCCAGGAAUGAUUAGCAAUUCUCCUCUAAGAUUGUUUUGAUAGUUUCGAUGUUUAUUGUGAUCAGAGCCUGCACCACGCGCAUUAAAGCCCAGACUAGUGCAGUAUGAGGGGACUUUUCACUAGGUUUAAGCGCACGCUUACGUUCGUUGUUUCUCUAACGCGCAGACCCUGCUUUUCUGCUUCUCGUUUAUCAGCGUUGCGGAAGCAACCCUUCCUUUCAUCAUUUUUAAAGAGGGAAGGAAGUGACUUGUCGAAGCUCAAACGGAAAGUUUUCAUAUCCUCCUGCUUUUCGAUUUACACGAUCCCCGCAGGCCCUUCUUUCCCCAAUAGUUUCCUUCCAUAAACAGUAUGGCCAGCCUUGGACUCUUUUGGGUGGAGGGCGCCCCCUGGAGGCUAUUUUGUUUUUACGGGCAGAGGCUCAAACAUGAAAGAAUCUCCAUCUUGGGAAGCGCUUCUUAAAGUGGCAGUUUCACUUCGGUGUCUGUCGUGUUUUGGGCUGGGCACUAGAUGGCAAUGGAGUUCACAAAAGCAUCCUGCUCAUUACAUUUUAGCUUUUAUCUAAUCUAGAUUGGCGUUCACAGAUCUUAUUGUGCCCAUACGUUUAUACAGCUGGGUAUUUUCUGAAGUAAUGCAGCUCAAGUACCUUGCUGACGGGCACAAUCGCAGUGUCCCAGCUUGGAAUUAAACCCGCAAUCCCAGGUCACUGACCAUUACUGUACCACUGCCUUUUUUUGCACUAAUGCUUAUCACAUGCUUUAGGGCUUAUUUCUCCAUCCCCUGCUGAAGUGGUGAAAGAUUUCCCCCCCAUCCACUGGGUGGCGUGUAGUUUUGUUUAAAUACGUACAUUUCCUGAUGAUUGCGGCUAUAUGCGGUCCAUAUCCUGUCGCACAGGGUUUUACGCUGAAAUCUUUGAUCAAAGGCGGUUUCCUGCUCCGCACAUGGAGCUCAGAUAUAAAAGUACACUUGCAUGUGCACACGCCAGUGAAGCCACAGACAUCAGCAUCUCAACACAAACUCUGCUGACCUCACCAAUGACACCAGUUAAUGGGGGAAGUCUUUGACCUUAUGUACUUGCCUUGUUUUUGGAGACUCAGAGGUCAAAGGUCAGUGGUUUUCUGAGAAUUCUCAAUUCUGAGUGACAGCAUCCAACUGUGGUUGCUGUGGAAAUGGCAAAUUCUCCCCAAACAGCGCGUCCCAGGAAUCCUAAGCAAGAUAAAAAUAUCCGCAGGAAGAACAGGAAAAUCAUUCCUGGUAGAAAUGCGUGUGCGUUUAAGUUUGCCUGUCCAGGAGUUAAACUGAAUCAAACCCUUAUAAUAUGAAUGUUCAUCAUGAACAUGCUGUCAGUUCCCUUAUAAUAUGAAUGUUCAUCAUGAACAUGCCGCCAGUUCCCUUAUAAUAUGAAUGUUCAUCAUGAACAUGCUGUCAGUUCCCUUAUUUGCUCACAGUUUUUCUGCACAGUCUUGUUGACCAGAAGGAGGUGUUUAGAUUCCCUCUCCAGAGCCAAAGUGUGCAGCUGUAAAGUGUUAAAUCUGCAUUGGGUUCAAGCUUGUUUCAGUUCAGCAUUUGUGAGGUAAUCCUGCUCUGUGGUUGAGCUCCACUGAUAAACUAACAGAGAGAGAGAGAGGCCAGUCACAGUGCUGGGUUUGCCUCCUCACUGUGGGUGAUCCCUAACCCUAACACUGUGGGUGAUCCCUAACCCUAACACUGUGGGUGAUCCCUAACCCUAACACUGUGGGUGAUCUGAUACAUUCUGUUUAAUAACAGAAGGAGAGGGGGUAAUAAUGGGGAAGGGGGAAAGAGGAGGAGUGAGAAACUUCUCAGUGUAUAGCGAAAAAGCAAACCAUUCCUCUCAGGGCAGGGUGACUGAGUUAAAGGGAUUUAUUACUGUGGAGACAAAUUAGCAUGGCUUAGUUUGAACAUGGUUAUCUUGGCCAUGUAAUGCUAGUGAUGCUACAUCAUACAUGCUCACUAUGCUAGUGAUGCUGCAUAAACCUACCUCGCUAUGCUGGUGAUGCUAUAUAAACCUAGCUCGCUAUGCUAGUGAUGCUAUAUAAAACAUGCUUGCUAUGCUAGUGAUGCUAUAUAAAACAUGCUCGCUAUGCUAGUGAUGCUAUAUAAACUUAGCUCGCUAUGCUAGUGAUGCUAUGUAAACCUAGCUCGCUAUGCUAGUGAUGCUACAUAAACCUAGCUCACUAUGCUAGUGAUGCUAUAUA